UACAGAGGUCUCAAGCGUUGUUCGGAAUUAUUGGGCGUAAAGGGUGCGUAGGCGGCAGGGUAAGUUAGAUGUGAAAUACCGGUGCUUAACAUCGGAAUUGCAUUUAAGACUGCCUUGCUUGAGCAUUAGAGAGGAGACUGGAAUUUACGGUGUAGCAGUGAAAUGCGUAGAUAUCGUAAGGAAGACCAGUGGCGAAAGCGAGUCUCUGGCUAAAUGCUGACGCUGAGGCGCGAAAGCUGGGGGAGCAAACGGG
rnacentral:rRNA from 1 species